GUUUUUAAAUUUGGGAGUUUGAUUGGUUUUUCAGCUGUAUGGUCAUUUUCCGGCAGUGUUCGCCGGAGCUCCGGCGAGAAUUUGAGGUGGGUUUUUUGGGAAAAUGUGUUAAUUGAGGGUUAAAAGUGGAAAAAAAUGUUCAAGUCUUCGAGAUGGAGGAGCGAGAAGAACAAGAUCAAAGCUGUAUUCAAGUUGCAAUUUCAUGCAACUCAGGUAAAAGGAGAUGCAUUAAUGGUAUCUGUGGUCCCUGCCGAUGU
rnacentral:misc_RNA from 1 species